rnacentral:rRNA from 1 species
UGAAGGGUGUUGGUUGCUUAAGACAGCAGGACGGUGGCCAUGGAAGUCGGAAUCCGCUAAGGAGUGUGUAACAACUCACCUGCCGAAGCAACUAGCCCCGAAAAUGGAUGGCGCUCUAGCGUCGCGCCUAUCCCCGGCCGUCGCCGGCAGAGAAGCACGAAAUGUGGGGGUGCUAAGCCGCGACGAGUAGGAGGGCCGCAGCGGUGGGCGUUGAAGGUGUCGGGCGCGAGCCCGCCUGGAGCCGCCGCUGGUGCAGAUCUUGGUGGUAGUAGCAAAUACUCAAGUGAGAACCUUGAGGACUGAAGUGGAGAAGGGUUCCAUGUGAACAGCAGUUGAACAUGGGUCAGUCGGUCCUUAGGGAAAGGAGAAAUCCUUUCAGAAGCGGG